rnacentral:rRNA from 1 species
AUUAUUUUUGUUAUUUAUAUAUUAGUAUUGCAUACUAUUUUGGGAAAAUUAUAUUUAUAUAUAAAAUAGAAAGAAUUGGUAAAAGUUUAUUUUUGUUUUAUUUUUACAGAAGAAAAUAUAAAUAAAUUGGUGUUGAAAUAUCGUCUAUUCUUAUAUCUGUUUUUUUUUUAUAUACUAGAAAAUUGUAUGUGAAAUUUUUAAAUUUUAGAUUCUUUUAUAAUAUGGAUUAAAAGUGUCCGUGUUUUCGGUGUUACAACCGUUAUCUUUUAGUUUUUAUCUUUUAUUUAUUUUUAAAUAAGGGAUUUUUUCUCAAAAAAAAAAGAGAAAGGGGGAUUUUUUUUUUGGGAAAAAUAUACAUUUAUGUAUUAUUUAUUGUAUUUUUUUUUUAUAAGACAUUAUAAAAUAAAUUAUCCAGAAAUUAGUAAAUAUUUUAAAUAAUAUUUUUAUUUUGAAUAUAAUUAGAGAACUCGUAAUCAAGAUCAAAUGUUUUUUAAAGACUUAGGGUUUAAAUUAAACCUGGCUUCUGCCCUAUGUAUUUUUAUAAAUGGCAGUCUUAGCGUGAGGACAUUAAGGUAGCAAAAUGAUUUGUUUCUUUAUUGGAUUCCAGUAUGAAUGAAGUUUUGGUUGGUGUUUUUCUUUUUUUUUUUUGAAUUUAAUUUAUAUAUAAAAAAAUAUAUAUAUAAUAUAACAAAGAUAAGUCUUCGGAAAUUUUAUUUUUAAUUAAUUUAUUUUUAAUUAAAAAUUUUUCUAGGGAAGAAAUAUUAUAUAAUUUUUUUUUUCUAAUAUUAAUUAAAAAAAUUACUUCGGAGUUAACAGGAAAUCAAGCUUUAUAUAGUUCUUAUAUUAGUGGUUAGUUUUACAUCGAUGUUGUAUUCCUAUAGGCCAAGGAAGAAGAAGAUUUGGUUUUUGAGACUGUUCUUCUUUUAUUAAAUAGGACGUGAUAUUAGUUUAAUUCAUCGUGAGAUAGAAUUGCUUAUCUUGUGUAUUAUUUUUUUUUUUUGUAGUAUAGUACGAAAGGAGUUAUGUUAAUGUUUUAAACGUUUUAAUUAUUUUU